rnacentral:snRNA from 1 species
CCUUUACCACGUUUUACUG